AUACGGAGGGUGCAAGCGUUGUUCGGAAUUACUGGGCGUAAAGCGCGCGUAGGCGGUCUGUUAUGUCAGAUGUGAAAGUCCUCGGCUCAACCGGGGAAGUGCAUUUGAAACUGGCAGACUUGAGUACUGGAGGGGGUGGUGGAAUUCCCGGUGUAGAGGUGAAAUUCGUAGAUAUCGGGAGGAAUACCGGUGGCGAAGGCGACCACCUGGUCAGAUGCUGACGCUGAGGUGCGAAAGCGUGGGGAGCAAACAGGAUUAGAUACCCCAGUAGUCC
rnacentral:rRNA from 1 species